rnacentral:tRNA from 1 species
GCCCGCUUAACGGAUCGGUUAUAGCAUCGCAUUAAAAAAGCGAUGGUCGUCGGUUCGAUUCAGAUAGCCGGCU